CUUUGUCCCUAAAUUCUACUGCAGUAUUUUCGUUAAGUUUUUUUGUUUGUUUGGAAUGUAACAGUUAGUAAAUGUACAUAACAGAAAGAAUUUUGUAGGCUCAGUAUUUACUGGCUUUAAUAUUAAAGUUUAGUUUGUUGGGGACAAAGACUGCGAAAUAAACGUUUACACCCUUGCAUCAUAAUUUUAAACAAAUUUGUGGUUCUUUUUGGGUGUUUGUUAAACUCGCUGUCCUCAACAUUAGGCUCAAGUCGCAGCCAGCGACAAAUUUUAUUUCGCAAUCUUUGGUGCGAUUAUGGUUCCUUGCCUGCCGGAACAAAUUUUAUUAGAUUUAAAUGUUUUGUGGUUCCUUGCCCGCCGGAACAUUAAUACGUUUUUGUGUAAUUUUAUGUAAGCGGUUCCUUGCCUGCCGGAACAAAUUUUAUUUGUACUUUUGUGUGAAUUUGUGGUUCCUUGUCCGUCGGAAGAAAUUUCAAU